rnacentral:rRNA from 1 species
UACGAAGGGGGCUAGCGUUGUUCGGAAUUACUGGGCGUAAAGCGCGCGCAGGCGGUCUUCCAAGUCAGUGGUGAAAGCCCGGAGCUCAACUCGGAAAGGUCAACUGAUACUGUGCGACUAGAGUGCAGAAGGGGCAACUGGAAUUCUCGGUGUAGCGGUGAAAUGCGUAGAUAUCGAGAGGAACACCUGCGGCGAAGGCGGGUUGCUGGGCUGACACUGACGCUGAGGCGCGAAAGCCAGGGGAGCGAACGGG